rnacentral:rRNA from 1 species
CAUGCAAGUCGGACGGUAGCACAGGGGAGCUUGCUCCCCGGGUGACGAGUGGCGGACGGGUGAGUAAUGUCUGGGAAACUGCCCGGUGGAGGGGGAUAACUACUGGAAACGGUAGCUAAUACCGCAUAACGUCUUCGGACCAAAGUGGGGGAUCUUCGGACCUCACGCCACCGGAUGUGCCCAGAUGGGAUUAGCUAGUAGGUGGGGUAACGGCUCACCUAGGCGACGAUCCCUAGCUGGUCUGAGAGGAUGACCAGCCACACUGGAACUGAGACACGGUCCAGACUCCUACGGGAGGCAGCAGUGGGGAAUAUUGCACAAUGGGCGCAAGCCUGAUGCAGCCAUGCCGCGUGUAUGAAGAAGGCCUUCGGGUUGUAAAGUACUUUCAGCGGGGAGGAAGGCGGUGAGGUUAAUAACCUCGCCGAUUGACGUUACCCGCAGAAGAAGCACCGGCUAACUCCGUGCCAGCAGCCGCGGUAAUACGGAGGGUGCAAGCGUUAAUCGGAAUUACUGGGCGUAAAGCGCACGCAGGCGGUCUGUUAAGUCAGAUGUGAAAUCCCCGGGCUUAACCUGGGAAACUGCAUUUGAAACUGGCAGGCU